rnacentral:rRNA from 1 species
GACGAACGCUGGCGGCGUGCUUAACACAUGCAAGUCGAACGGAAAGGCCCUGCUUUUGUGGGGUGCUCGAGUGGCGAACGGGUGAGUAACACGUGAGUAACCUGCCCUUGACUUUGGGAUAACUUCAGGAAACUGGGGCUAAUACCGGAUAGGAGCUCCUGCUGCAUGGUGGGGGUUGGAAAGUUUUGGCGGUUGGGGAUGGACUCGCGGCUUAUCAGCUUGUUGGUGGGGUAGUGGCUUACCAAGGCUUUGACGGGUAGCCGGCCUGAGAGGGUGACCGGCCACAUUGGGACUGAGAUACGGCCCAGACUCCUACGGGAGGCAGCAGUGGGGAAUAUUGCACAAUGGGCGGAAGCCUGAUGCAGCAACGCCGCGUGCGGGAUGACGGCCUUCGGGUUGUAAACCGCUUUCGCCUGUGACGAAGCGUGAGUGACGGUAAUGGGUAAAGAAGCACCGGCUAACUACGUGCCAGCAGCCGCGGUGAUACGUAGGGUGCGAGCGUUGUCCGGAUUUAUUGGGCGUAAAGGGCUCGUAGGUGGUUGAUCGCGUCGGAAGUGUAAUCUUGGGGCUUAACCCUGAGCGUGCUUUCGAUACGGGUUGACUUGAGGAAGGUAGGGGAGAAUGGAAUUCCUGGUGGAGCGGUGGAAUGCGCAGAUAUCAGGAGGAACACCAGUGGCGAAGGCGGUUCUCUGGGCCUUUCCUGACGCUGAGGAGCGAAAGCGUGGGGAGCGAACAGGCUUAGAUACCCUGGUAGUCCACGCUGUAAACGGUGGGUACUAGGUGUGGGGUCCAUUCCACGGGUUCCGUGCCGUAGCUAACGCUUUAAGUACCCCGCCUGGGGAGUACGGCCGCAAGGCUAAAACUCAAAGGAAUUGACGGGGCCCCGCACAAGCGGCGGAGCAUGCGGAUUAAUUCGAUGCAACGCGUAGAACCUUACCUGGGUUUGACAUGGAUCGGGAGCGCUCAGAGAUGGGUGUGCCUCUUUUGGGGUCGGUUCACAGGUGGUGCAUGGCUGUCGUCAGCUCGUGUCGUGAGAUGUUGGGUUAAGUCCCGCAACGAGCGCAACCCUUGUUCACUGUUGCCAGCACGUUAUGGUGGGGACUCAGUGGAGACCGCCGGGGUCAACUCGGAGGAAGGUGGGGAUGACGUCAAGUCAUCAUGCCCCUUAUGUCCAGGGCUUCACGCAUGCUACAAUGGCUGGUACAGAGAGUGGCGAGCCUGUGAGGGUGAGCGAAUCUCGGAAAGCCGGUCUCAGUUCGGAUUGGGGUCUGCAACUCGACCUCAUGAAGUCGGAGUCGCUAGUAAUCGCAGAUCAGCAACGCUGCGGUGAAUACGUUCCCGGGGCU